rnacentral:misc_RNA from 1 species
UUUCCGUAGGUGAACCUGCGGAAGGAUCAUUAAUGAGUUGUCAUGGGGUUCGAUGCUGGCAGCCAGUUUUUGGAUGCAUGUGCUUGCCCUAACAAUCAUCUUCUUCCAAACACCUGUGCACAUUUUUGAGGGAGUCUUGAGUUGGUUGCCGCUCUUGGGUGAUUUUCUCACAUUCCCUUAAAUCAUUAUACGCUAUUAACAAUGUUGAACGUGCUCUGUGCCGCAAGGCCUUUAAUAUAAUACAACUUUUAACAACGGAUCUCUUGGCUCUC